AUUGAACGCUGGCGGAAUGCUUUACACAUGCAAGUCGAACGGUAGAGGGGGCAACCCCUCGAGAGUGGCGAACGGGUGAGUAAUAUAUCGGAACGUGCCCAGUCGUGGGGGAUAACGUAGCGAAAGUUACGCUAAUACCGCAUACGAUCUAAGGAUGAAAGCGGGGGAUCGCAAGACCUCGCGCGAUUGGAGCGGCCGAUAUCAGAUUAGGUAGUUGGGGGGGUAAAGGCUCACCAAGCCAACGAUCUGUAGCUGGUCUGAGAGGACGACCAGCCAGACGGGAACUGAGACACGGUCCAGACUCCUACGGGAGGCAGCAGUGGGGAAUUUUGGACAAUGGACGCAAGUCUGAUCCAGCCAUUCCGCGUGCAGGAUGAAGGCCCUCGGGUUGUAAACUGCUUUUGUACGGAACGAAAAGGUCUCUCUUAAUACGGGGGACUCAUGACGGUACCGUAAGAAUAAGCACCGGCUAACUACGUGCCAGCCGCCGCGGUA
rnacentral:rRNA from 1 species